UUCCCUGAGUAAGUGCGACCGAAACGGGAAGAGCCCAGCGCAAAGCCUCGCGUCCCCUUCGCGGGGGGCUCGAGGGGUGCUGCGUUCGGGAGAGGUCCUGCACGCGCUCCCGAGCCGCCUAAGUUGUUCAUGAAUGACUCUCAUACCCAGGGAGGGUGUCAGGCCCGUGUGGCGGAAAGAGACUUCCUCCUCCUCGUUCGCGGGGAGGGGGGUUUCGGGAGUGCGGAACGGGCCUCUCCUUAGAGUCGGGUUGCCUGAAACCGCAACCUAAAGCAGGUGGUAAACUCCAUCUAAGGCUAAAUAUGACCACGAGACCGAUAGCGAACAAGUACCGUGAGGGAAAGUUGAAACAGAACCCUGUAGAGAGAGUUCAAGAGAACGUGAAACCGUUAAGAGGCUAAACGGGCGGAGAUUCGAAGAUCGAACUGGGGGGAUUCAGUUCGUCGGCCUGCCGGGAGACGGUAGCGGGCGUGUUGCGACUUCCCGUUCCGGAGGCCUCGUGCCGAAGGAGCCUUGAGUGGGGAGCGCCGCCCGCCGCCUGCCCGGCGCCGGCGGGCGAUCUUCCCCCCGCAGUAGGUCGCCGCGACGCGUUGGGAUGAUGGGCGUCUGAGGCCCGGGUCCUGGUAGGAACCGGCGGCGCGUUCGGCCCUUCCUUGCUCGACUCGUCGGGCGGGGUUGGUCGUUUUCCAGCGCGCCCGUCCGGGGAUCCCCCGGUGCCCUCGUCUUGCUCCCCCGACGGUCUCUCCUCCGGGGCCGUCCGAGAUCGGGGGUGGGGUCCGAGGCCGCGGUCGAGCCUAGCCUCCUCCUUUCGGGGGGGUCGUCUGGCUUCCCGCGCUUCCCCUUCCCCCACU
rnacentral:rRNA from 1 species